GAUGGUUUCGCUCAUAGCAGGAGUAUAACGGACCAGGCUUGGCCAGCCGCCCACAAGUCAGCCCACGGCUGCCCCUCAAGUGUGUCCAUGUAUCAUUUCGCUGCCACAUCUUCUCGGCGACGGGAUCUCUGAGGCUUCACCGGGAUUGGGGCUCCAGGGUGAGCCAGAAAACAGCAGGUGCCGUCUGGCAGGACCCUGAGGAUGGACGUCCACGUGGGGCAGGUUGCCCGACUUUCAGAUGCUUGUAUUGGACAGCUGGAAGCGCCUGGAGUUUGAAUUCGUGUUUGAUGGAUUUUCACUUUUUUUUUUUUAAAUCAAAACCAUGUAAGGCUUCUGGGUUAAGCAGAAUAUAUUUAUAAUUUUAUAAAUUAUGUCAAAUGGCAGACGAGCAGGAGCCUCUGUUCCGGCCAGAAACCCAAACCCCCUCACUGAUCCAUCUGGAGCCCCCUCACCCACCUGCUGCCCAGCGUUGGGUCCCCCUGGGCCUUUAGUCCUGGAGAGAUAAUGAAAGGGCCGCGAGGGCUGUGCCCCCACUGGGAGCCUCGCAGUGAGGCUGGGGCGACCCCUGAGCCAGGGUCUGUGGCACCCUCCGUGCGACUUCAGACCCUUGGAAAGGGCGCCCCAGUGGUUGGGCCUCAAGAGUGUGGCGAGUGGCCAGUCCCAGUGGGAGCACUCGGACCUGCCAGGCUUCACGACGAGAACAAGGCCCGGCUCGACCGGAGGGUGACCAUGAGCAGAGGGAAGGCCCCGCUGCAGGGACCCUGCC